UACGUAGGGUGCGAGCGUUAAUCGGAAUUACUGGGCGUAAAGCGUGCGCAGGCGGUUUUGUAAGUCUGACGUGAAAUCCCCGGGCUCAACCUGGGAAUUGCGUUGGAGACUGCAAGGCUGGAGUCUGGCAGAGGGGGGUAGAAUUCCACGUGUAGCGGUGAAAUGCGUAGAUAUGUGGAGGAACACCAGUGGCGAAGGCGACUCUCUGGUCUGAUACUGACACUGAGGCGCGAAAGCGUGGGUAGCAAACAGG
rnacentral:rRNA from 1 species